rnacentral:misc_RNA from 1 species
GAUGAAGAACGUAGCGAAAUGCGAUAAGUAAUGUGAAUUGCAGAAUUCAGUGAAUCAUCGAAUCUUUGAACGCACAUUGCGCCCCUUGGUAUUCCGAGGGGCAUGCCUGUUCGAGCGUCAUUAUAACCCCUCAAGCUCAGCUUGGUGUUGGGGCCUGCUGCACUGGCAGCCCUUAAAAUCAGUGCGGCGCCAUCUGGCUCUAAGCGUAGUAAUUCUUCUCGCUAUGGAGUCCUGGUGGAUGCUUGCCAUCAACCCCCAAUUUUUCUAUGGUUGACCUCGGAUCAGGUAGGGAUACCCGCUGAACUUAAGCAUAUCAAUAAGCGGAGGA